UACGUAGGGUCCGAGCGUUGUCCGGAAUUAUUGGGCGUAAAGAGCUCGUAGGCGGUCUGUCGCGUCUGCUGUGAAAACUCAGGGCUUAACCCUGAGCUUGCAGUGGGUACGGGCAGACUAGAGUGCGGUAGGGGAGACUGGAAUUCCUGGUGUAGCGGUGAAAUGCGCAGAUAUCAGGAGGAACACCGGUGGCGAAGGCGGAUCUCUGGGCCUUACCUGACGC
rnacentral:rRNA from 1 species